rnacentral:rRNA from 1 species
UACGUAGGGUGCAAGCGUUAAUCGGAAUUACUGGGCGUAAAGCGUGCGCAGGCGGUUUUGUAAGUCUGUCGUGAAAUCCCCGGGCUCAACCUGGGAAUUGCGAUGGAGACUGCAAGGCUAGAAUCUGGCAGAGGGGGGUAGAAUUCCACGUGUAGCAGUGAAAUGCGUAGAGAUGUGGAGGAACACCGAUGGCGAAGGCAGCCCCCUGGGUCAAGAUUGACGCUCAUGCACGAAAAGCGUGGGGAGCAAACG